rnacentral:rRNA from 1 species
UGCGUAGGCGGAACUUUAAGUCAGUGGUGAAAUCCUGCGGCUCAACCGUAGAACUGCCAUUGAUACUGAUGUUCUUGAAUGCAGUUGAGGUAGGCGGAAUGUGUAAUGUAGCGGUGAAAUGCUUAGAUAUUACACAGAACACCGAUUGCGAAGGCAGCUUGCUAAACUGUGAUUGACGCUGAUGCACGAAAGCGUGGGGAGCGAACAGGAUUAGAUACCCUGGUGUCC